UGUUGUUGUUGGUGAAAGAUAAAAUAAUUGCAAACAAAAUUGUAAGUACUAAAGAAUUGACUGGUGUAUGCAAAAUAAAAUCUGAACUACACCAACAACUCAAUGUCACUAGAGGCACCAUUUACGCUCCAUAUCUCAACAAUGUCCCUGAAAAAGAGAUCAUUACUGAACUCUCUGAUCAGGGUGUUGUUGACGUUUAUAAAUAUGAGAAAUUAGUGGAUGGAAAGAGAAUUAAAACAGGAGUGAUUCAUGUCACUUUCGAUCUCUAUAACAUGCCAGUAAAAUUACAAAUUGCGUAUCACUCAGCCUUCGUAAAAGAGCACUACCCGAACCCCAUGAGAUGUAAACAAUGUCAAUUGUUAGGGCACACAGGAAAACGAUGCAAAAAUCCACCAUUAUGUGCAAAUUGCAGUUUGCCCCCUCACUCUCCAAAUUAUUGCACACGCAUUCUCUGUGCCAAUUGCAACGAGAACCAUCCAUCGUCAUCAAACAGUUGCAAAUUAUACAAGCAACAAAAAGAAAUUUUAAAACUAAAAACAAUAAACAAAUGUUCGAUGAAAGAAGCAUUGCGUUUGUAUGAAAACCAACCAACAACAGACAUUCUUUCUAACACCUUCUCUAAUGUAGUGGCUGGAAAUGAAAUAAACAAAUUAUCAACAAAUAAAACAACAACAAAUACAUCGACUACGUCAAUUAUAGAAACUACUCCAAAAGCACAAAUCAAUAACUUAUUAAAAACUCCAACAACAAACCUACCAUCACUGCCUCUCAAUCAACAACAACUCCCAACCCAACAAAUAAUAUUUGAAGAACAACAAUAACAACAACCACAAAUACCAUAAGCAAACCUUCGAAUCUUACUCGUAAUAAUUCAAACCCAAAAAUAAAAAUAAACAAACCUCUGUCAACUACAGCGAGUACCACUAACUGUACUAAAAACGUUUCAAUAAGUAACCUCAACACCACAAAAUUACAACAAAAACCAAAUGCACUUAUUAAUGAGCCACCGUCAACAUCUGGUUUCUCUUUACCGAAACAGAGACAAAAUUCAAUUUAAAAUAUCCACAACGCAAUAACAGCAAUGGACACAAAUACCGAUCAUUCAUCUGAUGAAUAAUCUUCAUUAUAAUCUCUUAUGGGAUUGGAAAUUUUGCAGUGGAACAUCAGAGGAUACUGUAAUAACUUACUUUCGGAUACUGAUGCUGAUAUUGUUUGUUUGCAAGAAACAAAAUGCAAACAAAGUCAUACACCAUGUACUCCAAAAAAAUAUAUUGGUUACUUCUUCAAUAGAUACAAUUCUUCUAAGGAAGGAGUUGCCAUACUUAUCAAAAAAAGUAUUCCUCACCAAAUUAUCAAUUCCACCUCUCCACUGUGUUGUACCUCUGUUCAAAUUAAUCUUUCCAUUCGUUUUACUAUUCUAUCUCUCUACCUUCCACCACAGGAAACAAUACAUCCUUCAAUGCUUGACUCUCUUAUCACCAACAUAUUACCCCCUGUUCUUAUCCUGGGGGAUCUAAAUGCCUGGAUUAGUCUCCCAGCUAACAAUUUUUUCCGAGGGCUCUGAUGUCCGAUUUUUUGUCGAGAUUUUCAGACGUUUCUUCAGAAAAGUUUCCGAGUAAUCUGCACAUACUCGUUUCUUUUGUUUUGUUUGAACAAAACAAAGCAAAAGAGAAAAAAACAUCGUAUACAGAGAGUUAACUCUUUUUUGGCGAGAAUUUCUAAUGUUACUCCAGAAAAGUUUCCGAGUAAUCUGCACAUACUCGUUUCUUUUGUUUUGAAAAAAAAAACACAAAAAUUCUGACAUUAGCAGAGAGUUAACUUUUUUCUGUUGAGAUUUAUUUUACCGUUCCUUUCGAAAAGUUUCCGAGUACUCUGCACAUGCUCGGUUGAAAUUAUUUGAAGAAUUUUGUGUAUACAACUUUUUUGUUUUUUUUGAUUAUGAUCAGUUUGUCGUCAGAAUUUGUACGGAGCACGAGUGCAGUGUGUUGCAGUGAAAAGUUAAAAUGAAAAUUAAAGGAAGAUUUGGACCUUCAGUACCUUAUGCUACGCCGUUUAAAAAAUCAACGCCAUGACUUUUACAUAUGAAAAUUUUAGACUUAUUUUUCAAACUGGCGAGGUCAACGUUUUCGUGGCACGAAAUGUACCAAAAUACAGCUGUAAAGGACAUCUAAUUUAUUAGGCUCGUUAAAGAUGCGGCAUUGGAACAUAUUCCGGAAACUAUGGGAAGUGCCAUAUAAACCCAUAUAAAACAUUUCUUCAAAUCGGCUAAAGAUAGGCUUAACAAACCUUAACCUGGGCCAAAAUCGAACUCAGUCAACCUUAAACUCCUUUGUUCAUCUGAGAAUAAGCCAGCUGAUGACUUGAGCCAGCCAAAUAUGCGCUUCAUAUAUUUUCACCCUUAAUUAUAUUGAUUUACAUUGAAUUGCAACUUUUUAUGUUUUUUAUAUAUUAAUUUCCGUAUUCCUUAUAUUUUACAAAAAAAAAAAAAACUGAAUACAAAUGUUCUGUCAUUAAAUUGAAAAAUACAAACAUAAACAAUUAUCUAAAAACUAGAUAAAGUUUUAUUAUUUCUUUAUGUUUUUCGAUUACAACUAUAAAAUAAAUGUAGAUUUUUUUGCGAAUUUCGUAUCAAACAUCCUAUUAUUUUCCGAUUUUCGAAUGAAUUAUUCGAAUUUUUCCCGAUUUUCGGAUAAAACUAUAGAAUAAAUUCAGAUUUUUUUCCGAAUUUCGAAUCAAACAUCCGAAAAUUUUCAGAAUUUCGUAUCAAACAUCCUAUUAUUUUCCGAUUUUCGAAUGAAUUAUUCGAAUUUUUCCCGAUUUUCGGAUAAAACUAUAGAAUAAAUUCAGAUUUUUUUCCGAAUUUCGAAUCAAACAUCCGAAAAUUUUCAGAAUUUCGUAUCAAACAUCCUAUUAUUUUCCGAUUUUCGAAUGAAUUAUUCGAAUUUUUCCCGAUUUUCGGAUAAAACUAUAGAAUAAAUUCAGAUUUUUUUCCGAAUUUCGUAUCAAACAUGCGAAAUUUUUCCGAAUUUCGUAUCAAACAUCCUAUAUUUCUCCGAAUUUUCCUUUUUUCUUUGCCGAAUUCUAUACGAAUUUGCCCCGAAACUCUUACGUUCUUUCAGAAUUUUUUCCGCAAAAUCUUUCAGAAUCUUGGGCAAUCUCACACAAUUUUUUUCCGAUUUCUUUCCGAAUUCGACAUCAGAGUCGGAAACUUGUGCAGAGUUUUUUUCCGAAUUCGGAAGAAAAUCGGAAAAAAAUGUUU